AAAAGAGCAACACCUUUGCUCUAACGGAGCUUACAUUCUAGUGAAUUAAGGCUCAUGCAUAGCAAUUCUAUGACGAGGUGGCUAAAGAUCCUCCAUACUUGGAAACUGCAGGCUCUCAUUCUUCUAGUGUUUCAGAACUCCUAUGGUCACCUGGUCCAUGUCUCUCAUUUUGCCCACGAGGAAAGUGAGAGCUGGAGAGGUAAGAUGAUUUGUUCACAGUCACAGAGUGAUGAAGCUGGGACAAGACCUCAGGUUUCCAACUUUCUUUCAAGGUGUUUUCCCCUAUAUUGCGUUAAAUUCCACCAACCAGCAAACGUGAAGUCAGGCCUACUCAGUGAGCUGCUCCAAAUGCCUCUGAAGCAGUUGACAUUGAUGAAUUUCCCUCUUUUUAAAUUUAAAAGUAAUAAUGCAACCAAAUAGCAAUGUAACCAUUAAAAGAUUUAAAAUGUAAAACUAGAAUUUAACAAGCAAAAUACUUAAUAUGACUUUUAAUGGAAAGUAACUAUUUAGAAAUGAUUAUGU